AUUGAACGCUGGCGGCAGGCCUAACACAUGCAAGUCGAACGAGUGGCGGACGGGUGAGUAAUGUCUGGGGAACUGCCCGAUGGAGGGGGAUAACUACUGGAAACGGUAGCUAAUACCGCAUACCAUCGGAUGAGCCCAGAUGGGGUUAGCUUGUUGGUGUGGUAAAGGCUUACCAAGGCGACGAUCCGUAGCUGGUUUGAGAGGACGAACAGCCACACUGGGACUGGGACACGGCCCAGACUCCUACGGGAGGCAGCAGUGGGGAAUUUUGGACAAUGGGGGCAACCCUGAUCCAGCCAUCCCGCGUGUGCGAUGAAGGCCUUCGGGUUGUAAAGCACUUUUGGCAGGAAAGCGGUACCGGCAGAAUAAGCACCGGCUAACUACGUGCCAGCAGCCGCGGUAAUAC
rnacentral:rRNA from 1 species